rnacentral:rRNA from 1 species
UAGAGUUUGAUCCUGGCUCAGGAUGAACGCUGGCGGCGUGCCUAUACAUGCAAGUCGAACGCACAGCGAAAGGUGCUUGCACCUUUCAAGUGAGUGGCGAACGGGUGAGUAACACGUGGAUAACCUACCUCAAGGUUGGGGAUAACAUUUGGAAACAGAUGCUAAUACCGAAUAAAACUUCGUAUCGCAUGAUACAAGGUUAAAAGGCGCUACGGCGUCACCUAGAGAUGGAUCCGCGGUGCAUUAGUUAGUUGGUGGGGUAAAGGCCUACCAAGACAAUGAUGCAUAGCCGAGUUGAGAGACUGAUCGGCCACAUUGGGACUGAGACACGGCCCAAACUCCUACGGGAGGCUGCAGUAGGGAAUCUUCCACAAUGGGCGAAAGCCUGAUGGAGCAACGCCGCGUGUGUGAUGAAGGCUUUCGGGUCGUAAAGCACUGUUGUAUGGGAAGAACAGCUAGAGUAGGGAAUGACUUUAGUUUGACGGUACCAUACCAGAAAGGGACGGCUAAAUACGUGCCAGCAGCCGCGGUAAUACGUAUGUCCCGAGCGUUAUCCGGAUUUAUUGGGCGUAAAGCGAGCGCAGACGGUUGAUUAAGUCUGAUGUGAAAGCCCGGAGCUCAACUCCGGAAAGGCAUUGGAAACUGGUCAACUUGAGUGCAGUAGAGGUAAGUGGAACUCCAUGUGUAGCGGUGGAAUGCAGUAGAUAUAUGGAAGAACACCAGCGGCGAAGGCGGCUUACUGGACUGUAACUGACGUGAGGCUCAAA